rnacentral:lncRNA from 1 species
ACAAGUAUGGAGCUGGAGGACAUUAUGUUAAGUGAAGGCUAAGAGGAGGAUUGUAAGUGAUUCAGAAGCAAAGCUUAUUGAUCACGAAGCAUGACAGUGGAAGAAUUUCCUGAAAAUGGAAGGAGAAGAUGGUUUCACAGCAAAGCUACUAAUCUGAAACAGUAAAAGCAACAAACAAAUGCCCACUCCCCUUAGCUGACCAGAACACAAUCCUUGUGAAAUAUAAAAACAAUUAGGUACAUGUAACACAGGACACUGUUUUUCAAAUUUAAUGUUAACAGUGGGAUUAUUUGUUUUCCCUGCGACAAAUUUCUUUGUGGGAGUCUGAUAUAUCAAAUAGGAUUGGUAAAGUGAAGCAGGCACGGGCAUCUAGAAUUCUGCUGCUUCGUACUGCCCCUUCCCAGUCCCCAGUGGCCAGGAGAUGCCCCAUCAGAGCUCCAGGGCUCUCAGAUCAUUGUUUGAAAACUACUCAUCAGAAUGUCUCUUUGAAUCAGAGCUUGGAUUUCUGAUGCAUCGGACAUUUAAACUCUCCCCGUUUUGCCACCUCUCUUGCAGUGAGUUAACCUAAAACAUAAAGGGAAAAAGCAACAACAAAAAAGAUCAAAAAAGCCCAAACGAUCAAAAAAGGCACGCUGAAAUCUGUGUCCUCACCUAUUCAGAAAGUCAGGGGAAAAAAAGAUAAAAGAAUAAAUCCUAAGCAAAAGCAACUUUCCAUCGAGAUGACAAGACAGAAGCUGCUUCCUGUGCAGGAAAUGCGAGAUCUCUGCUCAGUGACAGAGGCUCAGGAAUUUCAUAGGACCUAUGGAUCUUCCAGUCCAACUGAGUGCAGAAAACUGCCAGGUUUCAUCUUCCUCCUUCUCUGCACCAAAAAACCUGAGACCGGGAUGCCAUGUAGCUGCUUCAGUUGGGAGAUGAUGCCAAGAACCACAAAUGAGGAAAUGAAGGGUCUGGCUCUUAUCACCUCUGAAUAGCAUGCCAUUCUCUUAGCCUCAUCUAAGAAACAGACUGUAGGGGAAGAGAAGAUCUAGAAUGUUGGUCACCAACCAAUGGCAGACAUUAUCAGACAAUUUGUGAGCAAGGAAGUCAGGAACUGUGAGCCACCUGCCAUCUUAAUUUGACAUCUAGUCUCACUACUUUCAAGCACCUCCACUUCAAAAUACUCUUACAAGUGAAUCACCAUUGUUAAAUGGAUCUUUGAAGGAAUUUUGACAACCAGACUGAAAACAAUCUAGACAUCUUAGAUAUUUGUGGCUUCACAGAAAAUAAAAUAAAACAACCCUUUUCAGCA